GAUAAUUUUCCGAAUGGUAUUUCGCGCGAUAGUACGAAUCGCGUCGCUUGCACUGUGAACGGUCUCACAGUUUUCAACGUGUUCAAAUGAGGUGCGAUUCUUCGCGCGAAUCGCUCGCUCGCUCGCUCGCGUGCACUGUGUUUCUGCCCUAAGAUUGCAAUUUUCCCCCUCAGGAUAAUGACUAUCCGAAUCACAGAGAAAUUGCUUGAUUUAAACGAAGUUCGAACGAAACCCCUCUCGAAUCUCGGGGCGCUUCAUUUCUUCUGAAAUUCGCGAUGAAAUUCCUACAAACGUACAGGUGAUCGCACAAUCGUCCUGUAUCACGGGAGAACUUCAGCUGUCAACCGUUUUUUGUCUCGCUUUUUAUAAAUAGUUUUUCUUUUUCGCCUUUGGCGGAAAGAUACGUAAAGUUUCCAUUUGUGACGACAAAGCCCAAAGCAAACAUCAAGAAAAUCAGCGGCGAAAUGUUGCUCUUACGGCCAUUUAGGACACUUUCUCCAGACGAGCCAUCCAUCAGCCAAGGAAAAAAACAGUGAAAAAAAUGCGGCCAGGAUUCAGCGGAAACAUCGGUGAUGCUGGUAGCCAGGCGGAAGGAACCUCUGCGCCAAGGGAUCUACCGGCCGUCGAAAUUGGCCGUCGCAACAUACUUUGUUGCACACCAAGUUUCAGGCAAUAUACCGGAAAAAUACAAACAGAAUACAGCAGCCAUUUGAUAUUAUUAAAAAAAAGU